GGGGGUAGAGCACUGUUUCGGCUAGGGGGUCAUCCCGACUUACCAAACCGAUGCAAACUCCGAAUACCUAUGAGUACUAUCCGGGAGACAGACUGCGGGUGCUAACGUCCGUAGUCAAGAGGAAAACAAUCCAGACCGCCAGCUAAGGCCCCAAAAUCAUAGUUAAGUGGGAAACGAUGUGGGAAGGCAUAGACAGCUAGGAGGUUGGCUUAGAAGCAGCCACCCUUUAAAGAAAGCGUAAUAGCUCACUAGUCGAGUCGGCCUGCGCGGAAGAUGUAACGGGGCUAAAACUAUGUGCCGAAGCUGCGGAUGUAUACUUUGUAUACGUGGUAGGGGAGCGUUCUGUAAGCCGAUGAAGGUGUGUUGAGAAGCAUGCUGGAGGUAUCAGAAGUGCGAAUGCUGACGUGAGUAACGACAAAACGGGUGAAAAACCCGUUCGCCGAAAGACCAAGGGUUCCAGUCCAACGUUAAUCGGGGCUGGGUGAGUCGACCCCUAAGGCGAGGCCGAAAGGCGUAGUCGAUGGGAAAAUGGUUAAUAUUCCAUUACUUCUGUGUAAUGCGAUGAGAGGACGGAGAAGGCUAAAUCAGCCUGGCGUUGGUUGUCCAGGUGAAAGGAUGUAGGCAUGUAUCUUAGGCAAAUCCGGGGUACUCUAUGCUGAGAUCUGAUAGCAAGCUGUACUUGUACAGCGAAGUGGUUGAUGCCAUGCUUCCAGGAAAAGUCUCUAAGCUUCAGUUACACAGGAAUCGUACCCGAAACCGACACAGGUGGUCAGGUCGAGUAGACCAAGGCGCUUGAGAGAACUCUGCUGAAGGAACUAGGCAAAAUGGUACCGUAACUUCGGGAGAAGGUACGCUGUUGUUGGUGAUGGAACUCGCUUCCUGAGCUGACGACAGCCGCAGAAACCAGGCCGCUGCAACUGUUUAUUAAAAA
rnacentral:rRNA from 1 species